rnacentral:rRNA from 1 species
CCUACGGGGAGCAGCAGUGAGGAAUAUUGGUCAAUGGACGAGAGUCUGAACCAGCCAAGCAGCGUGAAGGAUGACUGCCCUCUGGGUUGUAAACUUCUUUUAUAUGGGAAUAAAAUGUUCCACGUGUGGGAUUUUGUAUGUACCAUAUGAAUAAGGAUCGGCUAACUCCGUGCCAGCAGCCGCGGUAAUACGGAGGAUCCGAGCGUUAUCCGGAUUUAUUGGGUUUAAAGGGAGCGUAGGUGGAUUGUUAAGUCAGUUGUGAAAGUUUGGGGCUCAACCGUAAAAUUGCAGUUGAAACUGGCAGUCUUGAGUACAGUAGAGGUGGGCGGAAUUCGUGGUGUAGCGGUGAAAUGCUUAGAUAUCACGAAGAACUCCGAUUGCGAAGGCAGUUCACUGGACUGCAACUGACACUGAGGCUCGAAAGUGUGGGUAUCAAACAGGAUUAGAUACCCUAGUAGUC